UUCCUCUCAGCGAGUAGCAGCCUAGGCGGCGGUGGUGCAAAGUCAUCGUCCUAAGCACAGGAAACACGCCCGGAGAUCACACCUGCAUUCUCUCCACUGCGCUAACCCCUCGCCUCGUUCGUCAUGUCGGUCUCCAACUCGAAGGACGGCGAACCAGAGUGACUCCGGAUGUUGUGAGGAGGAUACGGGUCGAUUCAGACAGAAGGAUCAGCAUCAGAUGAGGCUGGACUACUGAUGGUUCGGAAGCGGCUGUAGAUCAGAAGGCCUGAGCUGUCUCCUCUUCCCCUGCAAAGAAAAUGGCUAUCAUCAGACAAUUUGGAUUAUUGCUCUGGAAGAACUAUCUCCAGCAGAAGCGUCAGAUCCCGUGCCCUAUACCA
ensembl:lncRNA